rnacentral:rRNA from 1 species
GUACACUCCUACGGGAGGCAGCAGUGGGGAAUUUUGGACAAUGGGCGAAAGCCUGAUCCAGCAAUGCCGCGUGAGUGAAGAAGGCCUUCGGGUUGUAAAGCUCUUUUGUCAGGGAAGAAACGGUGAGAGCUAAUAUCUUUUGCUAAUGACGGUACCUGAAGAAUAAGCACCGGCUAACUACGUGCCAGCAGCCGCGGUAAUACGUAGGGUGCAAGCGUUAAUCGGAAUUACUGGGCGUAAAGCGUGCGCAGGCGGUUUUGUAAGUCUGAUGUGAAAUCCCCGGGCUCAACCUGGGAAUUGCAUUGGAGACUGCAAGGCUAGAAUCUGGCAGAGGGGGGUAGAAUUCCACGUGUAGCAGUGAAAUGCGUAGAUAUGUGGAGGAACACCGAUGGCGAAGGCAGCCCCCUGGGUCAAGAUUGACGCUCAUGCACGAAAGCGUGGGGAGCAAACAGGAUUAGAAACCCUGGUAGUCC